rnacentral:rRNA from 1 species
AGGGAAUCUUCCACAAUGGACGCAAGUCUGAUGGAGCAACGCCGCGUGAGUGAAGAAGGUCUUCGGAUCGUAAAGCUCUGUUGUUGGUGAAGAAGGAUAGAGGCAGUAACUGGUCUUUAUUUGACGGUAAUCAACCAGAAAGUCACGGCUAACUACGUGCCAGCAGCCGCGGUAAUACGUAGGUGGCAAGCGUUGUCCGGAUUUAUUGGGCGUAAAGCGAGCGCAGGCGGAAUGAUAAGUCUGAUGUGAAAGCCCACGGCUCAACCGUGGAACUGCAUCGGAAACUGUCAUUCUUGAGUGCAGAAGAGGAGAGUGGAACUCCAUGUGUAGCGGUGGAAUGCGUAGAUAUAUGGAAGAACACCAGUGGCGAAGGCGGCUCUCUGGUCUGCAACUGACGCUGAGGCUCGAAAGCAUGGGUAGCGAACAGGAUUAGAUACCCU